rnacentral:rRNA from 1 species
UACGGAGGAUGCAAGCGUUAUCCGGAUUUAUUGGGCGUAAAGCGUCCGCAGGUGGUUUUCCAAGUCUGCUGUUAAAGCGCGAGGCUUAACCUCGUACAGGCAGUGGAAACUGGAUGACUGGAGUAUGGUAGGGGUAGCGGGAAUUCCCAGUGUAGCGGUGAAAUGCGUAGAUAUUGGGAAGAACAUCAGCGGCGAAAGCGCGCUACUGGGCCAUUACUGACACUCAUGGACGAAAGCUAGGGGAGCGAAAGGG